AGAGUUUGAUCCUGGCUCAGGAUGAACGCUAGCGACAGGCCUAACACAUGCAAGUCGAGGGGCAGCGGAGAGGUAGCAAUACCUUUGCCGGCGACCGGCGCACGGGUGAGUAACACGUAUGCAAUCCACCUGUAACAGGGGGAUAACCCGGAGAAAUCCGGACUAAUACCCCAUAAUAUGGGCGCUCCGCAUGGAGAGUCCAUUAAAGAGAGCAAUCUUGGUUACAGACGAGCAUGCGCUCCAUUAGCCAGUUGGCGGGGUAACGGCCCACCAAAGCGACGAUGGAUAGGGGUUCUGAGAGGAAGGUCCCCCACAUUGGAACUGAGACACGGUCCAAACUCCUACGGGAGGCAGCAGUGAGGAAUAUUGGUCAAUGGUCGGCAGACUGAACCAGCCAAGUCGCGUGAGGGAAGACGGCCCUACGGGUUGUAAACCUCUUUUGUCGGAGAGUAAAGUACGCUACGUGUAGCGUAUUGCAAGUAUCCGAAGAAAAAGCAUCGGCUAACUCCGUGCCAGCAGCCGCGGUAAUACGGAGGAUGCAAGCGUUAUCCGGAUUUAUUGGGUUUAAAGGGUGCGUAGGCGGCACGCCAAGUCAGCGGUGAAAUUUCCGGGCUCAACCCGGACUGUGCCGUUGAAACUGGCGAGCUAGAGUGCACAAGAGGCAGGCGGAAUGCGUGGUGUAGCGGUGAAAUGCAUAGAUAUCACGCAGAACCCCGAUUGCGAAGGCAGCCUGCUAGGGUGAAACAGACGCUGAGGCACGAAAGCGUGGGUAUCGAACAGGAUUAGAUACCCUGGUAGUCCACGCAGUAAACGAUGAAUACUAACUGUUUGCGAUACAAUGUAAGCGGUACAGCGAAAGCGUUAAGUAUUCCACCUGGGGAGUACGCCGGCAACGGUGAAACUCAA
rnacentral:rRNA from 1 species